AGCGAACGCUGGCGGCAGGCUUAACACAUGCAAGUCGAGCGCCCCGCAAGGGGAGCGGCAGACGGGAAAGUAACACGUGGGAACGUACCCUUCAGUUCGGAACAACCCAGGGAAACUUGGGCUAAUACCGGAUACGUCCGAAAGGAGAAAGAUUUAUCGCUGAAGGAUCGGCCCGCGUCUGAUUAGCUAGUUGGUGAGGUAACGGCUCACCAAGGCGACGAUCAGUAGCUGGUCUGAGAGGAUGAUCAGCCUCAUUGGGACUGAGACACGGCCCAAACUCCUACGGGAGGCAGCAGUGGGGAAUAUUGGACAAUGGGCGCAAGCCUGAUCCAGCCAUGCCGCGUGGGUGAUGAAGGCCCUAGGGUUGUAAAGCCCUUUCGGCGGGGAAGAUAAUGACGGUACCCGCAGAAGAAGCCCCGGCUAACUUCGUGCCAGCCGCCGCUGUAA
rnacentral:rRNA from 1 species